CGCGUAGGCGGAUGUUUAAGUCAGAGGUCAAAUCCCAGGGCUCAACCUUGGAACUGCCUUUGAUACUGGACAUCUAGAGUUCGGGAGAGGUGUGUGGAACGCCGAGUGUAGAGGUGAAAUUCGUAGAUAUUCGGCAGAACACCAGUGGCGAAGGCGACACACUGGCCCGAUACUGACGCUGAGGCGCGAAAGCGUGGGGAGCAAACAGGAUUAGAUACCCUGGUAGUCCACGCCGUAAACGAUGAGUGCUAGUUGUCGGCAUGCAUGCAUGUCGGUGACGCAGCUAACGCAUUAAGCACUCCGCCUGGGGAGUACGGUCGCAAGAUUAAA
rnacentral:rRNA from 1 species